AGCGAACGCUGGCGGCGUACUUAACACAUGCAAGUCGAACGAGGAGCUUCCGCGGUGUAGCAAUACAUCGGAGCUUCGAGUGGCGCACGGGUGAGUAACACGUGGGCAACCUGCCCUUGAGUCCGGGAUACCCUCUCGAAAGGACUGAGGCUAAUACUGGAUACGUUCUUCGGAUCGCAAGGUCUGGAGAGGAAAGGUAGCGAAAGCUGCCGCUCUUGGAGGGGCUCGCGGCCUAUCGACAGCUAGUUGGUGAGGUCACGGCUCACCAAGGCUAUGACGGGUAGCUGGUCUGAGAGGACGACCAGCCACACGGGAACUGAGACACGGUCCCCCGGACUCCUACGGGAGGCAGCAGUGGGGAAUUUUCCGCAAUGGGCGAAAGCCUGACGGAGUGACGCCGCGUGGGGGAUGAAGGCCUUCGGGUUGACGUAAACCCCUGUCAGAGGGAAAGAAGGGUCGGCGCGUGAAUAGCGCGUCGACCUGACGGUACCUUCAGAGGAAGCCCCGGCCAACUCUGUGUAGCCAGCAGCCGCGGUAAGACAGAGGGGGCGAGCGUUGCUCGGAAUUACUGGGCGUAAAGGGCGCGUAGGCGGGAUGGCAAGUCGGUCGUGAAGCCAUCCCUGGGCUCAACUCAGGGGGGUCGGCCGAUACUGCCAUUCUUGAGGGAUGCAGAGGAGACUGGAAUUCCCGGUGUAGCGGUGAAAUGUGGAGUAGAGAUCGGGAGGAACACCGGUGGCGAAGGCGGGUCUCUGGGGCAUUCCCUGACGCUGAGGCGCGAAAGCGUGGGGAGCAAACGGGAUUUUCAGAUACCCCGGUAGUCCACGCUGUAAACGAUGAGAACUAGCUGUUGGGUGAAUUAAAUCACUUAGUGGCGCAGCUAACGCGAUAAGUUCUCGAGCGCCUGGGGAGUACGGCCGCAAGGUUAAAACUCAAAGGAAUUGACGGGGGCCCGCACAAGCGGUGGAUGAUGUGGAUUAAUUCGAUGCAACCUUGCGAAGAACCUUACCUAGCCUUGACAUGUCCGGAAGCCCGCAGAAACGUGGGUGUGCCCGAAAGGGAAUCGGAACACAGGUGCUGCAUGGCCUCUGUCGUCAGCUCGUGUCGUGAGAUGUUGGGUUAAGUCCCGUAACGAGCGCAACCCUUAUCGUUAGUUGCCAUCGGGUCAAGCCGGGCACUCUGCUAGCGAAACCGCCUCGGAUAACGGGGAGGAAGGUGGGGAUGACGCCAAGUCCUCAUGGCCUUUAUGUCCAGGGCUACACACGUGCUACAAUGACGCACGGUACAAACCGUCGCAAACCCGCGAGGGGGAGCUAAUCGGAAAAAGCCGUGCUCAGUUCGGAUUGGAGUCUGCAAUUCGGCUCCAUGUAUAAGCUGGAAUCGCUAGUAAUCGCGGAUCAGAACGCCGCGGUGAAUACGUUCCCGGGCCUUGUACACACCGCCCGUCACAUCACGAAAGUGGGAUACUGCACUAGGAGCCGGCGUGCCAACCGCAAGGGGGUAGCCGUCCAAGGUAUGGUUCAUGAUUGGGGUG
rnacentral:rRNA from 1 species